UAGUAUAAGCAUUAUACCGCGAAACUGCGAAUGGCUCAUUAUAUAAGUUAUCGUUUAUUUGAUAAUACUUUACUACUUGGAUAACCGUGGUAAUUCUAGAGCUAAUACAUGCUGAAAAUCCCGACUUCGGAAGGGAUGUAUUUAUUAGAUUAAAAACCAAUGCCCCUCGGGGCUCUCUGGUGAAUCAUAAUAACUAGUCGAAUCGACAGGCCUUGUGCCGGCGAUGGCUCAUUCAAAUUUCUUCCCUAUCAACUUUCGAUGGUAGGAUAGUGGCCUACCAUGGUUUCAACGGGUAACGGGGAAUUAGGGUUCUAUUCCGGAGAGGGAGCCUGAGAAACGGCUACCACAUCCAAGGAAGGCAGCAGGCGCGCAAAUUACCCAAUCCCGACACGGGGAGGUAGUGACAAUAAAUACUGAUACAGGGCUCUUUUGGGUCCUGUAAUUGGAAUGAGUACAAUUUAAAUCCCUUAACGAGGAACAAUUGGAGGGCAAGUCUGGUGCCAGCAGCCGCGGUAAUUCCAGCUCCAAUAGCGUAUAUUAAAGUUGUUGCAGUUAAAAAGCUCGUAGUUGAACCUUGGGCCUGGCUGGCCGGUCCGCCUCACCGCGUGCACUGGUCCGGCCGGGCCUUUCCUCCUGGGGAGCCGCAUGCCCUUCACUGGGUGUGUCGGGGAACCAGGACUUUUACUUUGAAAAAAUUAGAGUGUUCAAAGCAGGCCUAUGCUCGAAUACAUUAGCAUG
rnacentral:rRNA from 1 species